rnacentral:rRNA from 1 species
UACAGAGGUCCCGAGCGUUGUUCGGAUUCAUUGGGCGUAAAGGGUGCGCAGGUGGCGGGGUAAGUCUGAUGUGAAAUCCCGGGGCUCAACUCCGGAACUGCAUUGGAUACUGCUUCGCUUGAGUACUGGAGAGGAGACUGGAAUUUACGGUGUAGCAGUGAAAUGCGUAGAGAUCGUAAGGAAGACCAGUGGCGAAGGCGAGUCUCUGGACAGUUACUGACACUGAGGCACGAAGGCCAGGGGAGCGAACAGG